rnacentral:tRNA from 1 species
CUAAGUGGUCCCGUAGCUCAGCAGGAUAGAGCACCAGAUUCCUAAUCUGGGGGUCGCGCGUUCGAAUCGCGCCGGGAUCACCA